rnacentral:rRNA from 1 species
AGUGCGAGGGUCCGAUUUUUCUGCCGAGAAAUCGGAGCUAAUGGUCAAGCUACUAAGGGCGCACGGUGAAUGCCUUGGCGCCAGGAGUCGAUGAAGGACGUGGUAAGCUGCGAUAAGCGUCGGUGAGCCGCAAACAGGCUUUGACCCGGCGAUUUCCGAAUGGGGAAACCCACUCUGGGUAAUACCGGAGUAUCCCCGGCUGAAUACAUAGGCCGGUGGAAGGCAACGCGGGGAAGUGAACCAUCUCAGUACCCGCAGGAGAAGAAAACAAUAGUGAUUCCGCCAGUAGCGGCGAGCGAACGCGGAAGAGCCCAAACCAUCGUGCUUGCACGGUGGGGUUGAAGGGCCUGUCAGGCCGUAAGGCCGACGAGUCACAAACCAGCAAUGUAGCCGAACGGCCUGGAACGGCCGGCCAGAGCGGGUGACAGCCCCGUAGGCGAAACAGUGCUGGCUCGUUGGGCAGGUACCUGAGUACCGCGGGACACGAGAAAUCCCGUGGGAAUCUGCGAGGACCAUCUCGCAAGGCUAAAUACUCCCUGGCGACCGAUAGUGAACCAGUACCGUGAGGGAAAGGUGAAAAGCACCCCUGUUAGGGGAGUGAAAAAGUACCUGAAACCGUGUGCCUACAAGCAGUGGGAGGGCGUUUGCCGGAGGCUUGCCUCUGGUGUUGCCUGACCGCGUGCCUUUUGCAUAAUGAGCCGGCUAGUUA